GCUUGCGGCGGCGGGGGAAGAUGGUGGAGGACGGCGCGGAGGAGCUGGAGGACCUGGUGCACUUCUCAGUCUCCGAGUUGCCCAGCCGCGGCUACGGCGUCAUGGAGGAGAUCCGGCGGCAGGGCAAGCUGUGCGACGUGACACUCAAGGGCUGCAAGACGCAAAGGCCACGAGAAGAGGAGGAGCUUCCUGCAGCUGGCCAGACUGAGCAACUGUGUAAAACUUAACUUCAUGGGACUGCUGUGUUGUCUUUGGAUUCCACUUCACACAGGACAUGCGUGUUUGCUUAACGGGCCCACUGUAGGCAGCUGGAUCCCCCAGCAGGGAGAAGAAAGAAAAACCAGGAACAGGUUCUAAGUGCCUGGGGGUCUUCACAAAACUGGUGUUUUCCCUAUUAUUAAAGUACAAGUCCCAGCUGCUCCACUUCCGAGCCAGCUCUCUGCUAUGGCCCAAGUCCUUCGGCCCCCGCACUAGCAUGGGAGACCUGGAAGAAGCUCCUGGCUCCUGGCUUAGGAUUGGCACAACUCCAGCCAUUGUAGCCAUCUGGGGAGUGAACCAGUGGAUGGAAGACCUCUCUCUCUUUCUCUCGCUGCCUCUCUGUAACUCUGCUUUUCAAAUAAAUAAAUAAAUCUCUUAAAAAAUGAAUUAUGGCUAGGAUUAUAUUAUAUGUAUAUCUUACUGUAUUUGUCAGAAAAUUUCCAAGUUAACAUAUUUUUUAAAAACUUUCAUUAUAAAUAAAAAUUUUUUAGAAGAUUUAUUUAUUUGAAAGGCAGAGUGACAGAGAGAUCUUCCACCUGCUGGUUCACUCCCCAAAUAGCACAAUGGCCAGGACUGUGCCAGGCUCGUGCCAGCAGCAUGGAACUUCCUCUGGGUCUCCCAUGUGGGUGCAGGGGCCCAGGUAGUCGGGCCAUCCUCUGCUGCUUUCCCAGGUGCAUUAGCAGGGAGCUGGGUCAGAAGCAGAGCAGCCAGGACAUGCACUGGCAUCCACAUGGGAUGCUGGCUCCAAAGGCAGCGGCCUAACCCGAUGUGCCGCAGUGCUGUCCCCUACAGACUCUCUUGCUGGCUACCUCUCCUUCCGUUGAUGGAUGCACCCUAUUUUUCUUAACCAGUUCCUUGAAGGUAAUUAGGUGGGGAUGAAGGGUGCCUCUGUUUUACAGCCAGCGGACAAUUUCAUUUGUCAGACAGCUGGCUACUUCUGGGGUAGCAUUUGCUGUGGGGCAACACUUCGCUUGCGCACAAACUUUCUUCUGUCGUUUCCUCGAUAGACAGAAGCCAGACAGCUGCCCUCCAGGCUGGGUCUUCCGCUGGAUGGGCUGCAGGUUUCACCCAGCCCUACAGAACCAGGCUCUCUUGGCCUCACUUCAUCUCCCACCCCUGCAGGGUGGGCACUGCUGCUGGGAUUUCCCGCAUGCAGCGUGCAGACUCCCAGGAGGGGACCCUGCCAGACUGAGUGCUGCCGACAAGGCAGGGAGCCCACGCGGAGGCUACCAGAUGUGAAUCUGCAUCCCAGCUCUUCCGCCCGUGCACUGUGAGCACAUUACUGAACCUCAGAGUGUGAGCUUUUUUCUAUUUAUAAAGAUUUAUAUAUUUAUUUGAAAGGCAGAGUGAUAGGGAGAGAAGAUCUUCGAUCUGCUGGGCCACUCCCCAAAUGUCUGCAACUGCUGGGGCUGCGCCAGGUUGAAGCCAGGAGCCCAGAGUUCCCUGUGGGUCCAAGCACUUGGGCCAUCUGCGGCUGCUUUCCCAGGUGCAUUAGCAGGGAGCUGGAUCGAAAUUGGAGCAGCCGGGACUGGGCCAGGCGCUCUGAUAGGGAAUGCUGGCAUUGCAAGCAACAGCUCACUGUGCGCAACAGCGGCCCCAGAGCUCGGGUUUCUUCACAUUCGUGAGAGAGUAAUUUGUACCCUCUCGAGUUUCAUGGACAUUAAAAUGAGAUAAACAGGUGAACCCACUGAGCCCAGUUUGAUGAGCUUAGUUAAAGCAGCGACAGAGACUGCUCUCCACCCCAAAGGAAUGAUCAGUUUUCUCUCCAACUGCUCUGUUUUAUUAGAAGUUUUAUCCUCUUGGCAAAAACACUCUUCCAAGUCAUACUGGGAUCAGCCAGCUGGUCAGUCCAGCAGCCCUGAGGCUUUACUGGCCUACUUCUCUGGGCUGACCUAUCCUCUUGUUCAAGACCUGUCAGCUUCCCCUAGGACAAAGCAAGACAAUCAUGCAGAAACGGUCCUCCCUCCUUGUACCACACGUCCUCACGUUCGUUUAUUUCAUCCACAUCCGCUACUCCAUGCAGUGGGAUGGUGCUCAUUAAAGACUGAAAUACUGCUCUGGGA